GGGCUCUCUGAUGUUUCCUUGCAACAGCUCAAGUAUGCAUGCUGCUAAAAUAUUGGCCAAAGGAGAUGUUUAAGAGCAUGUGAUGGAGUUGGGGCUUCUGAUCCUCUGUCUGGGUGCCGUCCUCACAGGGAGCGGAGCAAAGCGAAGCCGAACUCCCCUCUUCAUGUCGCUGCGGGACUCCCGGUAAAUAUCCGUCCGUCCGCUGCGGGUGAUGCGAAGGACGCUCGCGAAAGGCGCCGUUCCGCUCCGUAACACAUAGCACCCACUCGCGGGCGGGCACGCGCGCACCGGGAGGAGGACGAAAAGGAAACGCCGACUUUUCGACCCCCGCCUUCCGAAAGGAGAAGCCUU
rnacentral:lncRNA from 1 species